UCCGAGUUGACCCCGGCAGUCUCCUACGAGUCCCCGGCAUUAUCCGCUGGCAACAUAGGACAAGGGUUGCGCUCGUUGCGGGACUUAACCCAACAUCUCACGACACGAGCUGACGACAGUCAUGCAACACCUGUGGUCAGGCCCCUUGCGGGGAGACGACGUUUCCGCCGCUGUCCUGAUCAUGUCAAGUCCUGGUAAGGUUCUUCGCGUUGCGUCGAAUUAAACCCCACGCUCCGCUGCUUGUGCGGGCCCCCGUCAAUUCCUUUGAGUUUUAGCCUUGCGGCCGUACUCCCCAGGCGGGGUGCUUAAUGCGUUAGCUUCGGCACGGAGGGAGUUGACACCCCCCACACCUAGCACCCAUCGUUUACGGCGUGGACUAC
rnacentral:misc_RNA from 1 species